rnacentral:rRNA from 1 species
GCUUAACACAUGCAAGUCGAACGGAAAGGCCCUGCUUUUGUGGGGUGCUCGAGUGGCGAACGGGUGAGUAACACGUGAGUAACCUGCCCUUGACUUUGGGAUAACUUCAGGAAACUGGGGCUAAUACCGGAUAGGAGCUCCUGCUGCAUGGUGGGGGUUGGAAAGUUUCGGCGGUUGGGGAUGGACUCGCGGCUUAUCAGCUUGUUGGUGGGGUAGUGGCUUACCAAGGCUUUGACGGGUAGCCGGCCUGAGAGGGUGACCGGCCACAUUGGGACUGAGAUACGGCCCAGACUCCUACGGGAGGCAGCAGUGGGGAAUAUUGCACAAUGGGCGGAAGCCUGAUGCAGCAACGCCGCGUGCGGGAUGACGGCCUUCGGGUUGUAAACCGCUUUCGCCUGUGACGAAGCGUGAGUGACGGUAAUGGGUAAAGAAGCACCGGCUAACUACGUGCCAGCAGCCGCGGUGAUACGUAGGGUGCGAGCGUUGUCCGGAUUUAUUGGGCGUAAAGGGCUCGUAGGUGGUUGAUCGCGUCGGAAGUGUAAUCUUGGGGCUUAACCCUGAGCGUGCUUUCGAUACGGGUUGACUUGAGGAAGGUAGGGGAGAAUGGAAUUCCUGGUGGAGCGGUGGAAUGCGCAGAUAUCAGGAGGAACACCAGUGGCGAAGGCGGUUCUCUGGGCCUUUCCUGACGCUGAGGAGCGAAAGCGUGGGGAGCGAACAGGCUUAGAUACCCUGGUAGUCCACGCUGUAAACGGUGGGUACUAGGUGUGGGGUCCAUUCCACGGGUUCCGUGCCGUAGCUAACGCUUUAAGUACCCCGCCUGGGGAGUACGGCCGCAAGGCUAAAACUCAAAGGAAUUGACGGGGCCCCGCACAAGCGGCGGAGCAUGCGGAUUAAUUCGAUGCAACGCGUAGAACCUUACCUGGGUUUGACAUGGAUCGGGAGUGCUCAGAGAUGGGUGUGCCUCUUUUGGGGUCGGUUCACAGGUGGUGCAUGGCUGUCGUCAGCUCGUGUCGUGAGAUGUUGGGUUAAGUCCCGCAACGAGCGCAACCCUUGUUCACUGUUGCCAGCACGUUAUGGUGGGGACUCAGUGGAGACCGCCGGGGUCAACUCGGAGGAAGGUGGGGAUGACGUCAAGUCAUCAUGCCCCUUAUGUCCAGGGCUUCACGCAUGCUACAAUGGCUGGUACAGAGAGUGGCGAGCCUGUGAGGGUGAGCGAAUCUCGGAAAGCCGGUCUCAGUUCGGAUUGGGGUCUGCAACUCGACCUCAUGAAGUCGGAGUCGCUAGUAAUCGCAGAUCAGCAACGCUGCGGUGAAUACGUUCCCGGGGCUUGUACACACCGCCCGUCAAGUCAUGAAAGUUGGUAACACCCGAAGCCGGUGGCCUAACCGUUGUGGGGGAGCCGUCGAAGGUGGGACUGGUGAUUAGGACUAAAU